GAACGCUAUCGGUAUGCUUAACACAUGCAAGUCGAACGGACUAAUUGGGGCUUGCUCCAAUUAGUUAGUGGCAGACGGGUGAGUAACACGUGGGAAUCUACCCAUCAGUACGGAAUAACUUUUAGAAAUAAAAGCUAAUACCGUAUAUUCUCUACGGAGGAAAGAUUUAUCGCUGAUGGAUGAGCCCGCGUCAGAUUAGGUAGUUGGUGAAGUAAUGGCUCACCAAGCCGACGAUCUGUAGCUGGUCUGAGAGGAUGAUCAGCCACACUGGGACUGAGACACGGCCCAGACUCCUACGGGAGGCAGCAGUGGGGAAUAUUGGACAAUGGGCGAAAGCCUGAUCCAGCAAUACCGAGUGAGUGAUGAAGGCCUUAGGGUUGUAAAGCUCUUUUAGCAAGGAA
rnacentral:rRNA from 1 species